rnacentral:rRNA from 1 species
UACGAAGGUCCCGAGCGUUGUUCGGAAUCACUGGGCGUAAAGGGAGCGUAGGCGGCGUGGUAAGUCAGAUGUGAAAUCCCGGGGCUCAACCCCGGAACUGCAUCCGAUACUGCCGUGCUAGAGGAUUGGAGAGGUAGCUGGAAUUCUUGGUGUAGCAGUGAAAUGCGUGGAGAUCAAGAGGAACACUCGUGGCGAAAGCGAGCUACUGGACAAUACCUGACGCUGAGGCUCGAAGGCCAGGGUAGCGAAAGGG